rnacentral:rRNA from 1 species
UUUAUUUUCUAUUUUAAUAGAAAUAUCUUAUUUUCAGCUUGAGUAUUAUUAUAGAAAUAGUUUUAUUUGUUAUAGUUUAUUGUACUGUGAAGGAUAUUUUUUAAUUUUAUAUAAGUAUAUAUUUUUAUAGUACCUUUUGUAUCAGGGUUUAUUAAAUACUGUUAUAAAUAUACUUUUCCCGAAAUUAAAAGAGUUAUUAUAAAAUGUAUUUUUAUGUGUUACAAUAAUAUAUAAUAUUAUAAUAGAGGUUAUAUGCCAUUCAAUUUUAAAUAUCUGGUUUUCUGAUAAAUAAAUUUAAUUUAUGAAUUACAAGUUAUGUAUUAUUUAUAUUAUAUUUAAUUUGUAAUUCUAAAUUUAUGAGGGAUAAGCUUUGUAAAUUACUUAUAAAUUUACUUUAUUAUUAAUUAUAGUAGGCUUAAUAACAGCCAUUUAAUUCGUUUCAGUUAAAAUUAAAAUAGUUUUUAUUUUAAUUUAUUUUAAGUUCUUAUUAGAAUAGAUUUUAUAAUUUUAUCAAGGUUGAAAUUAUGAUAAAAUUAGUAUUUUUAUUAAUUAAGUAUAGGAAUUCGGCAAAUUCUAUUUCCGCCUGUUUAUCAAAAACAUGUCUUACUGGUUAUUAAUUUUAAGUCUAACCUGCUCAAUGAUUAUUUAAAUAGCCGCAGUAUCCUAACUGUGCAAAGGUAGCAUAAUCAUUUGUCUCUUAAUUGGAGGCUUGGAUGAAUGGUUGGACGAGAUUUAAUCUUUCUUUAUUUAAUUUUUAUGAAUUUAAUUUUAUAGUGAAAAGGCUAUAAUUUUUAUAUGGGACGAGAAGACCCUAUAGAAUUUUAUUUUAGAAUUUAACCCCAAGUUUUAAUUUUAUCUUUGGGGUUAAAUUCUAAAAUUAGGUUGGGGUGAUUGUAAAAAUAAAAUAACUUUUAUUAUUAAUUAUUCAUUAAUUUAUGUUAUAAAGAUCCUUUAAUAUGGAUUUUAAGAUUAAAUUACCUUAGGGAUAACAGCGUAAUUUCUUUUGAGAGUUCUUAUCAAUGGAGGAGUUUGCGACCUCGAUGUUGGAUUAAAAUUAGAUUAUUGAAUGGUGUAGAGGCUUAAUAAUCUGGGUCUGUUCGACCUUUAAUUUUUUACAUGAUCUGAGUUCAGACCGGCGUGAGCCAGGUUGGUUUCUAUCUAUAAUUUUAUUAUCUUAGUACGAAAGGACCAGGUUUUAAUAAUAUUUAUUUUAUAUUGAUU